rnacentral:rRNA from 2 species
CUGGUGUCAGCCGCCGCGGUAAUACCAGCACCUCGAGUGGUCAGGACGUUUAUUGGGCCUAAAGCAUCCGUAGCCGGCUCUGCAAGUCUUCGGUUAAAUCCACCUGCUCAACAGAUGGGCUGCUGGAGAUACUACAGAGCUAGGGAGUGGGAGAGGCAGACGGUAUUCAGUGGGUAGGGGUAAAAUCCUCUGAUCCAUUGAGGACCACCAGUGGCGAAGGCGGUCUGCCAGAACACGUUCGACGGUGAGGGAUGAAAGCUGGGGGAGCAAACCGGAUUAGAUACCCGGGUAGUCCCAGCUGUAAACGAUGCAAACUCGGUGAUGCAUUGGCUUAUGGCCAAUGCAGUGCCGCAGGGAAGCCGUUAAGUUUGCCGCCUGGGAAGUACGGACGCAAGUCUGAAACUUAAAGGAAUUGGCGGGGGGGCACCACAAGGGGUGAAGCCUGCGGUUCAAUUGGAGUCAACGCCAGGAAUCUUACCCGGGGAGACAGCAGAAUGAAGGUCAAGCUGAAGACUUUACCAGACAAGCU